GUGUCAUAAGAAAGGAGAGAAGGUUAGCACUCCCCUUGAUAAGGACGGAAGAGACCUUCAUGGUCUUUAUGAUACAUAUAGGCAAGUUCUCCUACUUCGAGGACACCUCAUAUUUUUUU